rnacentral:misc_RNA from 1 species
GUUUUUGCUAUUUGAUCGCUAGGACCAAUCCAGAGUUAGUGUUUUGGCAGAGGUUUAAAGAGUAAAAGAAAACAAAAUCAGGUUGCAUAUGCAUACAGUCUACAAUCUAAUAAGUACAGAAUUAAGCGACAUAUAAUUUCAGGAUAAUAAUGGAAGGAAAAGUAGCUAUAGUUACAGGCAGCAGCUCGGGAAUUGGUGAAGCAAUCGCCAUACAUCUAGCGUCCUUGGGAUACCGUCUGACAGUCACCGGCAGAAAUGCGGAGAAUCUGCUAGAAGUAGUGAACAAAUGCAAAGAACAAGGCUUAGCAGAUAAAGAGAUUCUGUCGAUGACUGGUGACGUGAACGAUGUAGAAUUCGUGAAGAAGAUGGUGAAUGAUACAAACAAAUACUUCAGUAAGGUAGAUCUUCUGGUUAACAACGCCGGAGUUGCACGUCUUAAGGAGUUGUCUGAUACCACAGUAGAGGACUACGAUCUUAUCAUGUCAACCAAUCUCAGAUCGGCAUUUUUUGCAUCACAGGCAGCCUUACCGUUUCUCAAAGAAUCAAAAGGUAGUGUAGUGAACGUGUCAUCCUGUGGAAGCUUAACACCUAAUAAAUAUUGCGUUUACAAUGUCAAAAGCUGGCAUGGAUCAACUGACUUUGAACACAGCAAAAGCUUUUGCCGAAUAUGGAAUCAGAGUAAACUCUGUAAACCCUGGAGUUAUAAUCACAAAUUUAUAUGAUGCCGACGGUUUUAAUCACGGUCAGGUGACGGAUUUUGCAAAUGGGAUGCACAUACUUCAAAAACGACCAAUUAAAUUAGACGAAGUUACAGCAGCAGUUGCAUUUCUGGCCUCCGAACAUGCAGCAAUGAUUACUGGUUGCAUUUUGCCGAUAGAUGGCGGUCACCAUCUGGGAAACUAGUUGUCAUGUGAUAGGAUUGGCGAAAUUAACACAAUUUUAUCGAAGACAACAAAGGCCUAGUGUAUUUGACAUGUAGUAUCAAAAUGCAACACAAGCCAUCACAAACCAUGCACAAAGUAUUAUUAUUAUUAUUAAAGUAGUACCAUGGUAGUACUACUAGUUGGCUACCAGUCAAGAAGAGAAUCAACUUCAAAACAAGGAAUUGACCAAUCCAGAGCCUAUGUGCUUUUGCAGAGGUUCAAAGAGUAAC